rnacentral:rRNA from 1 species
UACGUAGGUGGCAAGCGUUGUCCGGAUUUACUGGGCGUAAAGAGCGCGCAGGCGGUCGUGCAAGUCGCGUGUGAAAGCCCCCGGCUCGACUGGGGAGGGUCACGCGAUACUGCUCGACUCGAAGGCAGGAGAGGGAAGUGGAAUUCCCGGUGUAGUGGUGAAAUGCGUAGAUAUCGGGAGGAACACCAGUGGCGAAGGCGACUUCCUGGCCUGUUCUUGACGCUGAGGCGCGAAAGCUAGGGUAGCAAACGGG